rnacentral:rRNA from 1 species
UACGUAGGGAGCAAGCGUUGUCCGGAAUUACUGGGCGUAAAGGGCGCGUAGGUGGGCGCUUAAGUCAGGUGUGAAAACUCCGGGCUCAACCUGGAGACUGCACUUGAAACUGGGUGUCUUGAGGGCAGGAGAGGAAAGUGGAAUUCCUAGUGUAGCGGUGAAAUGCGUAGAUAUUAGGAGGAACACCAGUGGCGAAGGCGACUUUCUGGACUGUACCUGACGCUGAGGCGCGAAAGCGUGGGUAGCGAACGGG